UCCGAAUAAUCAAUCGUUAGAAUGAUAAUAAGUAUAUACUAGGAAACAAAUGCUGAUAAAAAAGCACAUACAGAUGCUAAGUGAAACCUGUUUUAAAAGAGCACUCUGUGAUACAAGGAAAAAACUCAAAACUUAACUCAAAAGUGGUCUCAUCAAACAGGUGGUAUGUUAGUACAGAUUCCAUUUACGUAUGCAAUGCACUCCAAAGGGAAUUUAAAUUAAUGGUCUUAUAAAAUAUGUUUUUGUUUAAUAAAUGUGGUCUCUAAGUCCGGUUUGAAAUGUACGUAGACGGACUCGAAAUUGUUGUAAAUCGGCAAAUACAAACCGUCACUCGAACUGUAAAUAUAACUUAUAGAUACAUGAUAGACUACUUCUCAUUUCACACUUUCAUUAAUUGCUACAUCAAGUCUCUCUUGUCUGUGCACAUUGGUUAUUAAAGAACAACCCAAAAUCCAAUAUUAAUUGAUUGUUUGUUUCUUGUUAAACGUUAUGUGGCAAAUACCUCAGGACAAGCAAUGUAAAGUUAAAUAUGCAGCCAUAAUAAAGAAAUAUCCGUUAUGUAUUAGCCUAACAUUCUAGUCGGCCAAUCCACCUCCUCCUCUCGUCAGUGGUCGGCUGUGAAGUAGUGAGCCUGAACUUAUUAUGAGUAUGCAGUUCGGAACGUGACAGUUGAAAACGAUACUUUAAAAAAUAAAAAUGUGUAGAACCCUUGCAUUCCGCUUAUUCAUUGUAUUAAGGAAUAUCUCGUUCCGACAUUUGGGUGAAACGCAUGUUCUAUCCUUUAUUAGAUAAGCCUUUGUAAAUGCUAAAUCGCUCUUUUAAAUUCAAAAGUGCAGAUAUUUGUGGUAGAUUUAAAACCAUUUUUAUAGGGUAAUUUUAUAUAUGUUGCCGACCACAAGUCCUGGGUGCGGAAAGGUCUUUGAAUUCUCUGAUAUCAUAACAAAAUUUAAAUCCAACUGGUUAAAAAUAUUAAAGCUCUUCAGCUACUUAAAAUUCUUAAUUAGAAAAUCGUCGUUGUUAUUAUCAUAAUAUAUGUGAGGGCCUAGAUGGGUCCCUGAAUUCUGUAUUAUUUUUUAAUUUAGCUACUUAAAAUUCUUAAUUAGAAAAUCGUCGUUGUUAUUAUCAUAAUAUAUGUGAGGGCCUAGAUGGGUCCCUGAACUCUGUAUUAUUUUUUAAUUCUUUUCUCUAUUCUUUAUAUUUUAGCACAUCAUUGACUGUACUGUAUAUUUUGUAUUCUCUAUUUCUAAUCUUUCUCUUUUUCUACUAUUUUUUGUCUUUUCUUUAUUUUUUAUCCGUUAAUCUCUAUUCUGUAAACCUCGUCCAGAUAUAUAUGACCUACAUAAGUAAAAAUGUCACAUUUACCUUUCGCAGUAUAUGAAAUAUGUUAUUGAUAUAACUUAGCAAAAGCCCACAUGGGAAAUCCAGGUAACAAGUUCAAAGCCAGGUACAUAUUUAUCUAGAACGACAAACAAUGUUUUUUAAUCGUUUCGAUCAAUAAACAAAUAUGUUUACACAACUAGUCAUGUGUUGUUUAUUUAUGAUUCAAUCAGCUGAUUACAAAUUGAUGAUGAAACCGUUGAUUAUAUAAACUAAUCUCUCUGGAUAUAUAUAAAUAUGUCUUAAUGAGGGAAAACCUCUAAGAAGCAAAAAUAGAUCAUAAAUAAGCAAAAACUUAUAUUGCUAAGCUUUAUUAAAAAAGAGCACUGUAUAACAAUUUCUAUAAUGAACCAUUACAUUGUUUAUAUAUACAUAUAUGUAUAUUAUUAGUAAGAAAGAGAAAUGAGUCGAACGUACAAAGGUGACGGAGCAAAAAUAACACUUGAUGACUAUAUAUGAUCAAUGUAUGCACUCAAAAUGCAAAGAGAUAGGACCGUUAUCUCCGUGUCGUUUCUUUCACUAACGUGGUCAAAGUCUAAAUAUGAUUUAAACCUACAAGAAUUCGAAUAUCAAACUGUCUCUAUAAUUAUUGAUAUAAAUUAACAUCUUCUAUAACAC
rnacentral:lncRNA from 1 species